GGUUUCCGAUUUUGAGAUUAACGUCAAUGGUACUAGAGAUGGAAUAAUCUCAAGAAUAUCAGAAACCAGAGCCAUACCAGCUCCAUUUGCUAAUAAUGAUGUAAAAGGACUUGGUCUAACCUAAAAGGACCGGUGCAAAAAAAGUUUGGAUGGACACAGGAAGCCGUGGUGUACGUUUGACCUCAGCUACUGCACCGAUCUACUCAAGCCAAGAGAUGUUUUCCAAUGGGAUACACACACUUUUACGGUCUUUUAUCGAACAACUGCUUAAAGGUUCAGUUCAUGAUUUCUUUCGCUAAGUUUGCCAAAUCUGUGGAGAAAAUGGGUCGGAUUAAAAGUGUUAAAACAGAGUCUGAGGGUAAAAUUAGAAAGGUCUGUGUUUUGGUGAAUGGUUAGGAAUCUGAACAAUAAUAUUUUAUUAACAGUGACGUCAAAAUAUUUAUUAAAUUUAUUUAUCCCGAUGGAUUUAGAUAAUUAAUUUUUUUAUUCUUAAACUUUAUUUAUUUAUUUUAGGGUUUUCUUUUUCAUUUUAGAAAGACAUCAGGAAGCUGGGAACAACUAGUUGACAACAUCUAAGACUAAUAAUAAUAAAUUAAGAGAGAAGAAGAAUAAAGAAGAAGCAAAUUCGCAAAGGGGGUGGGGAUGGAUUUUGGUGUGGAGGAAGAAAAAGUAAGAAAGAGUGGAGGAAGGUGAGGAAACACAGUCAAAAAGAAAUGGAACCUGACAAAAAGAGAAGUGAGCACUCACUGCUUAAUUGUAUGCCCAUCUCAUACAAUUCCCAGCAGCGAGUGCUCACUCUCUUCUGUCAGUCUCUCUUUGGUGUCCGUCCCUUGCCCCCUCCCCUUUUCUUUUUUGUUUACCUAUUCUUCGCAAUGACUGGAUUCCCAAUCUUCAGUUUUCAACAUUCUGAAACCAACAUUCAAACUCUGUCAGAUUUCAACCCAAAAACCCAAAAAAAAAAAAAAAAAAAAAAAAAAAAAAAAAAAAAAAACCUACCAAACUCACUUCACGCUCAUUAUCACCGACAACCCACCGCAUACCCAUUUUUCUGCAGAUUCAACCCCCUCUCACUAGAUUUCUGUUUUCUUUUAGGGUUUGCAACCAAACAACCACCACCCCUUUUUUUCUCUUUUGCUUGUUUGGGUGAGACUUUCUUUUUUUCCGCUUCGAAUUCCUUUCAUCUCUUUUAUAGCUGUCCUCGUGCAAUUCUAGCCCUCUACCUCACCCGUUUUGACACCGCCAGAGAGAGAAAUAAAAAAAAAUAAAAAAAUAAAGGAAAAAGAAGAGAGAGAGAGAGAGAGAGAGAGAGAGAAUGAAUGAGGACGAAGAAAGAACAAGGAAGAAUAUGAUGAAUGAUGAGGGGCUUUUGGUGCAAAUUUCUUGUGGCUCAGCAGUUGAUUGUUUGUUUGUUUAGAAGAGAAACAGAAAACGACAGGAAAUGUACGCGGGCGUUAACAGAGAGAGAGAGAGAGAGAGAGAAGAGGUGGAAGAGAAUGUGGGCCGUGGUGUCAAAAUUUGCUUGCUUAGGAAAUGAGUGGCCGUAGGCCACGUGGAGUCGUGGUGUGGAGAACGAUUGACUUCUGGUUAUGGGCCUUGGCAUUUUGACUCGUUGAUGGGUCCCACCGCUGUCGGUCAUGUGAGCUGGGACAGUUGCUAGUGGUACUGACGCGAGUAAGGGAGACGAAGACAUCCCCAACCCCACCCUCUUUUUAAUACCUAUUAUUUAUCUUUUCUUUCUAUUUAUUAAAUAACACUAAUAUUUAUUACUAUUAAUUAAUCUACCAUUAAUUAUCUA